UUCCCCUGUAGCUCAGUAGGCAGAGCAAGUGGCUGUUAACCACUGGGUCCGUGGUUCGAACCCGCGCGGGGGAGCGAA
rnacentral:tRNA from 1 species